rnacentral:misc_RNA from 1 species
GAUGAAGAACGUAGCGAAAUGCGAUAAGUAAUGUGAAUUGCAGAAUUCAGUGAAUCAUCGAAUCUUUGAACGCACAUUGCGCCCCUUGGUAUUCCGAGGGGCAUGCCUGUUCGAGCGUCAUUAUAACCCCUCAAGCUCAGCUUGGUGUUGGGGCCUGCUGCACUGGCAGCCCUUAAAAUCAGUGGCGGCGCCAUCUGGCUCUAAGCGUAGUAAUUCUUCUCGCUAUGGAGUCCUGGUGGAUGCUUGCCAUCAACCCCCAAUUUUUCUAUGGUUGACCUCAGAUCAGGUAGGGAUACCCGCUGAACUUAAGCAUAUCAAUAAGCGGAGGA